rnacentral:rRNA from 1 species
GGCUUUUUGAAUAACAUGAAAAGUCGAGCCUUCCCGGUGGGCAUACGAGCCUAAACGGGCGCGGUAAAUCGUGCUAAGGUAGCUAAAUUAUUGCCCAUUAAUUGUGGUCCUGUGAAUGGUUUGACGAGUCUUCGACUGUCUCAAAGUUGUUUUGGUGAACUUGAAUUGGAUGUGCAAAUGCCUCCAUGGGUAAGAAAGACGAGAAGACCCCGUGAAGUUAGAAAUUCUUGUCAUAGUGUGAGUUUUCAAUUCCUUUAGAAUUCAAGAUAGGAAUCAAGUAAUUCUAAGUUGAGAAAUAUGGUUUUUGUGUUUUGGCUGGGGCAGCAAAGAGGCAAGUCUAGACCUCUUUUAUCUUAAAACGGGUGCGUUACGACCCACAAGUUCGUAAGGUGUGAUUAGCAGAAGUAGUUACUCCGGGGAUAACAGCGUUAUCCGCCCCGAUAGUCCUUAUAGACGGGCGGGUUUGCGACCUCGAUGUUGGCUCUGGUUAUCCUGAGGCUUGCAGGAGGUCUCAAGGGUUGGUUCGUUCGCCCAUUAAAAUCCG